UACAGAGGGUGCAAGCGUUGUUCGGAAUUAUUGGGCGUAAAGGGCGCGUAGGCGGUGCGGUAAGUCUGUAGUGAAAUCUCUGGGCUCAACUCAGAGUCUGCUAUAGAAACUGCCGUGCUCGAGUGUGGGAGAGGUGAGUGGAAUUCCCGGUGUAGCGGUGAAAUGCGUAGGUAUCGGGAGGAACACCUGUGGCGAAAGCGGCUCACUGGACCACAACUGACGCUGAUGCGCGAAAGCUAGGGGAGCAAACAGG
rnacentral:rRNA from 1 species